GAUGAACGCUGGCGGCGUGCCUAAUACAUGCAAGUCGAGCGAACAGACGAGGAGCUUGCUCCUCUGACGUUAGCGGCGGACGGGGGAGUAACACGUGGAUAACCUACCUAUAAGACUGGGAUAACUUCGGGAAACCGGAGCUAAUACCGGAUAAUAUAUUGAACCGCAUGGUUCAAUAGUGAAAGACGGUUUUGCUGUCACUUAUAGAUGGAUCCGCGCCGCAUUAGCUAGUUGGUAAGGUAACGGCUUACCAAGGCAACGAUGCGUAGCCGACCUGAGAGGGUGAUCGGCCACACUGGAACUGAGACACGGUCCAGACUCCUACGGGAGGCAGCAGUAGGGAAUCGUCCGCAAUGGGAGAAAGCCUGACGGAGCAACGCCGCGUGAGUGAUGAAGGUCUUCGGAUCGUAAAACUCUGUUAUUAGGGAAGAACAAAUGUGUAAGUAACUAUGCACGUCUUGACGGUACCUAAUCAGAAAGCCACGGCUAACUACGUG
rnacentral:rRNA from 1 species